CAUGCAAGUCGAACGGCAGCGCGGGGCAACCUGGCGGCGAGUUGGCGAACGGGCCCCNUUNUAUAUCGGAACGUACCCUGGAGUGGGGGAUAACGUACCGNAAGUUACGCUAAUACCGCAUACGAUCUAAGGAUGAAAGUGGGGGAUUCGCAAGAACCUCAUGCUCCUGGAGCGGCCGAUAUCUGAUUAGCUAGUUGGUGGGGUAAAGGCCUACCAAGGCAUCGAUCAGUAGCUGGUCUGAGAGGACGACCAGCCACACUGGAACUGAGACACGGUCCAGACUCCUACGGGAGGCAGCAGUGGGGAAUUUCGGACAAUGGGCGCAAGCCUGAUCCAGCAAUGCCGCGUGAGUGAAGAAGGCCUUCGGGUUGUAAAGCUCUUUUGUCAGGGAAGAAACGGUGAGGGCUAAUAUCCCUUGCUAAUGACGGUACCUGAAGAAUAAGCACCGGCUANCUACGUGCCANUCACCCGCGGUAAUACGUAGGGUGCAAGCGUUUAAUCGGAAUUACUGGGCGUACAGNGAGCGCUCCCUGAUUUGUAAGUCCUGUCNGUGAAAAUCCCCGGNCCUCAACCUGG
rnacentral:rRNA from 1 species